GUCUAUGGCCAUGCUACCCUGAAUGUACCCAAUCUCAAAAGUGAAGCAGGGUCGGACCUGGUUAGUACUUGGAUGGGAGACCAGCUAGGAAUACCCAGGUGCUGUAGGUG
rnacentral:rRNA from 1 species